rnacentral:rRNA from 1 species
GACGACCGCUGGCGGCGUGCUUAACACAUGCAAGUCGAACGAAGUGGCGAACGGGUGAGUAACGCGUAAUCAACCUGCCCUUCAGCGGGGGACAACAUUUGGAAACGACUGCUAAUAUCGCAUACUGAAGGAGGGGAUUGCGUCUGAUUAGCUAGUUGGAGGGGUAACGGCCCACCAAGGCGAUGAUCAGAAGCCGGUCUGGGAGGAUGAACGGCCACAUUGGGACUGGGACACGGCCCAGACUCCUACGGGAGGCAGCAGUGGGGAAUCUUCCGCAAUGGAAGAAAGUCUGACGGAGCAACGCCGCGGGGUGGAUGACGGCCUUCGGGUUGGAAAGCUCUGUUAAUCGGGACGCGGUACCGGAAUAGAAAGCCACGGCUAACUACGUGCCAGCAGCCGCGGUAAUAC